AUGAAAAAUCAACGAAAAGAAAAAAAAAAUCAACAGGCAUACGUUUAAAUGUCCUGAGAUUUUUAAAAUAAAAAUUUUAAAAUAAAAUUCUUAAGAGUCUUUUUCACUUAUGUAUAGUCAAACUAUUUCCAAGUAGAAGAAUAGUCAUCUGCAAGGUUGAAUCACCCUCGGGAACCUAAAGAGGAGGAUGGCAAGGACUUUCCAGGGUGGCCCCAGACGAUCACACAGAGACAGGAUCUCAUUCUGCUGUCCAGACUGGAGUGCAGUGGUGUGAUCAUAGCUCAUUGAAGCCGCAAAUUCUUGGGCCCAACAAUCCUCCCCGUCAGCCUCCAGGGUGUAAAUGAGCUUUGAGAUCUACAGUUAUUUGCUGGACAAUUCCCUGAUAAUAUUAAAGCACCCAGUAGAAGAAUGUGCCUUGUCAAAAACAUAUCAAUCACAAUAAUCCUUCAAGAUACACUUAUUAUUAGUUGACUGCUUAUGGCUAUUUUAGACUGAAAGACCAACACAAAAUGGUAAGAAUAGACUAGUAGUCCUUAUACAUACUAAAUAACAAUCAGGAAUUCAUAUUCAUGCACAUAAUAUUUUGCACUUAUUAUUGUCAAAAGCAUAAUUGGUGUGUACUGAAUCCAUUCCAAAACGUUUAACUUUCACAGCUACAGCAUGUCUACUUCCUUUACAACUCCAGCUUUCUCUCAUAGAGACCUAGAUGACCUUCUGGGUGCAAUAUAAGCCCCAGACUUUCAAACUGCCUUUACUUAUAUACUAUAAUAGAUAUUUUAAUGAAGACUAGUAAGAUACAUAAAGAGAACAGAGACACUUGACUAAAUAUUUCAUAUUUUCUAUUUGCUCCUUGAAGCCAUCUUACCACAAAAUACAUUAUUUCAUAUAUCAGAAAAAUAAAUAAUAAAAUAAAAUAAUAAAUGGAUUAGCAUCCUCUAGGCAGUUUUCAACUUUUCUUUGAUAUAAAACGAGUUAUGAUCCAUCUUGAAGAUACUAGCUUUAAUUUUAAAGGCAAAAAGUUUUCUUAUAUUCAUGAGUAUAGAGUUCUACAUGAAAUCUAUUACAGAUGUUGAAACUCAGGCAAAGGAUAAAAAUCCCGGGUCGUUCCAGUUAGAAUACAUACGGGAGGCACACAGUGCUGUAUCAGUGAAUCAAAGGUACACUUUUUAAAACAUGCUGAAAAUUAAACUAAUUAUAAACCUGAAUACAUAUAGACCUAAAGUAGUUUUCACUGAGAGAAGAUAAUCCAAAAAUAAAUGUGUUUUGUGAUGGUGAAACAUAUUUUUAUAUACUCUCUUCAUUUUUGGGGCAUAAGCAAAAAAUUAAUAAAAUAAUAGAAAUA